UUACUUAGUGGAGGUCUAUAAUGGCUGUGAACUGCUGUUAGCCUGUACUGGAGAUCAUUAUAUGUUACUGAAAAUGUCAGGGAGAGAAAAUAUUGGUUCUUUGUCAUAACUCCAGCAGAGAGAUAUUUCAGGUGCUCUGGAGUUCUACACAGUGGUGAGAGCUUCCUAGGAAAUAACCCUGGUUUUAAGGCUGAAGCUCCAGAGGAAAUGCAGUGUUACUGAGUGUUUGAUGCUUCGAUAAAGUUCAGCGAGAUGAAUCCUACCCUUCCUGCUCCCUGCCAAGAGAAAGCAGACCCGCGCUGCUGCUUCUCUGCCAAGAAAUAGCAGACAUUAUGCUUGCCCAUAUGGAGCAGUGCUCCGAAUUCCUGUGCUUGGAAUACAAGUGGAAUUCCCUUCUUAUUAAAAAGCAAAACAAAGCAACCUCCUCAGAAAUAAGCGAAACAUUCUUAGGAAUGUGGAAUAGGUAAUCUUUUCUGGGUUGUAAGAACAAUUUCACAUUCUGUUAGAUCACUGUACAUUUCUCUGUCUUUCUGGGUAGUAAAAGCAUGCGAAGUAGUAACUCUAUACAAAUGAUCUCAAAAUAUAACACUGGUUAAAAAAAGUAAUAUAAGAAAUAGUAUAGGGUGGUGAUAUUUUGCAUGUCUGGUAACAGUUGAUAUUUGCAUAGUAACAGUGAUAAAUCCUUCUGUACUGGACCUACAUCUUCCCUGCACUGGAAAUUUCACUAUAUGAGGUGUGAGGUAAUGAAAAAUCAGGGCUAUAAUACCCCACUGAGUUUCUGAGUCAUCUUAUUGCACUGAA